UUCUUCGGGGCAGGGUGAAAUUCCCGAUCGGCGGUCACAGUCCGCGAGCCUGUUUCAGGCUGAGAUGGUGCAAUUCCAUCACCGACAGUUAUAGUCUGGAUGGUAGAAGAA
rnacentral:ncRNA from 1 species